GGCAGCACGAUGUAGCAAUACAUUGGUGGCGACCGGCGCACGGGUGAGUAACGCAUAUGCAACCUACCUAUCAGAGGGGAAUAACCCGGCGAAAGUCGGACUAAUACCGCAUAAAACAGGGGUUCCACAUGGAAAUAUUUGUUAAAGAAUUAUCGCUGAUAGAUGGGCAUGCGUUCCAUUAGAUAGUUGGUGAGGUAACGGCUCACCAAGUCCACGAUGGAUAGGGGUUCUGAGAGGAAGGUCCCCCACACUGGUACUGAGACACGGACCAGACUCCUACGGGAGGCAGCAGUGAGGAAUAUUGGUCAAUGGGCGAGAGCCUGAACCAGCCAAGUCGCGUGAAGGAUGAAGGAUCUAUGGUUUGUAAACUUCUUUUAUAUGGGAAUAAAGUGAGGAACGUGUUCCUUUUUGUAUGUACCAUAUGAAUAAGCAUCGGCUAACUCCGUGCCAGCAGCCGCGGUAAUACGGAGGAUGCGAGCGUUAUCCGGAUUUAUUGGGUUUAAAGGGUGCGUAGGUGGUUAAUUAAGUCAGCGGUGAAAGUUUGUGGCUCAACCAUAAAAUUGCCGUUGAAACUGGUUGACUUGAGUAUAUUUGAGGUAGGCGGAAUGCGUGGUGUAGCGGUGAAAUGCAUAGAUAUCACGCAGAACUCCGAUUGCGAAGGCAGCUUACUAAACUAUAACUGACACUGAAGCACGAAAGCGUGGGGAUCGAACAGGAUUAGAUACCCUGGUAGUCCACGCAGUAAACGAUGAUUACUAGCUGUUUGCGAUACACAGUAAGCGGCACAGC
rnacentral:rRNA from 1 species